CGGCUAGUAGUAGGCCGGUUAGGAUUUGUGUUGCUAGGCAGAUGCCUAGGAGAGAUCCGAAGUUUCAUCA
rnacentral:tRNA from 1 species